rnacentral:rRNA from 1 species
GCAAGCGUUGUUCGGAUUUACUGGGCGUAAAGGGCGCGUAGGCGGCGUGUCAAGUCGAUUGUGAAAUCUCCGGGCUUAACUCGGAACGGCCAAUCGAUACUGACGUGCUAGAGUGCAGAAAGGGCAAUCGGAAUUCUUGGUGUAGCGGUGAAAUGCGUAGAUAUCAAGAGGAACACCUGAGGCGAAGGCGGGUUGCUAGGCUGACACUGACGCUGAGUGCGCGAAAGCUAGGGGAGCGAACGGG